rnacentral:tRNA from 1 species
AGGGGAGUCGCCAAGUGGUAAGGCAUCGGAUUUUGAUUCCGACAUUCGUAGGUUCGAUCCCUACUUCCCCUGCCA